rnacentral:rRNA from 1 species
GACGAACGCUGGCGGCGUGCUUAACACAUGCAAGUCGAACGAAGAGCGAUGGAAGCUUGCUUCUAUCAAUCUUAGUGGCGAACGGGUGAGUAACGCGUAAUCAACCUGCCCUUCAGAGGGGGACAACAGUUGGAAACGACUGCUAAUACCGCAUACGAUCUAAUCUCGGCAUCGAGGAAAGAUGAAAGGUGGCCUCUAUUUAUAAGCUAUCACUGAAGGAGGGGAUUGCGUCUGAUUAGCUAGUUGGAGGGGUAACGGCCCACCAAGGCGAUGAUCAGUAGCCGGUCUGAGAGGAUGAACGGCCACAUUGGGACUGAGACACGGCCCAGACUCCUACGGGAGGCAGCAGUGGGGAAUCUUCCGCAAUGGACGAAAGUCUGACGGAGCAACGCCGCGUGAGUGAUGACGGCCUUCGGGUUGUAAAGCUCUGUUAAUCGGGACGAAAGGCCUUCUUGCGAACAGUUAGAAGGAUUGACGGUACCG